GGCCCUAACCUCCCAGCCAACUGCUCACCACCCGCUCCGUGGGAGCGCCCUGGAGCCCCGCGCCGCCGGGCAGAGGCCACCCUGCUCUCAGGAGUCCAGAGGCUCUUGGCAGUGAUGCUGCCCCCUGACCGCGCAGCCGGUUGGCCGUGACUUAAUACGACAGCGCUCUCCGCCAUCCGCUCGGCCCAAGUGAGACCAGGGGGUGAGGGUGGGGGUGGGGGGCUCUUCUGGGGUGUCUCCUGUUCUGUAGCUCAGAGUCAUUUUGUACAGUGUGGG
rnacentral:lncRNA from 12 species